rnacentral:rRNA from 1 species
AACCUGGUUGAUCCUGCCAGUAGUCAUAUGCUUGUCUCAAAGAUUAAGCCAUGCAUGUCUAAGUAUAAGCACUCAUACUGUGAAACUGCGAAUGGCUCAUUAAACCAGUUAUCGUUUAUUUGAUAGUACCUUUACCUGGAUAACCGUGGUAAUUCUAGAGCUAAUACAUGCUAAAAAUCCCGACUUCGGAAGGGAUGUAUUUAUUAGAUAAAAAACCAAUGCCCUUCGGGGCUCCGUGGUGAUUCAUAAUAACUGCACGAAUCGCAGGGCCUUGCGCCGGCGAUGGUUCAUUCAAAUUUCUGCCCUAUCAACUUUCGAUGGUAGGAUAGUGGCCUACCAUGGUCUCAACGGGUAACGGGGAAUUAGGGUUCUAUUCCGGAGAGGGAGCCUGAGAAACGGCUACCACAUCCAAGGAAGGCAGCAGGCGCGCAAAUUACCCAAUCCCAAUUCGGGGAGGUAGUGACAAUAAAUACUGAUACAGGGCUCUUUUGGGUCUUGUAAUUGGAAUGAGUACAAUCUAAAUCCCUUAACGAGGAACAAUUGGAGGGCAAGUCUGGUGCCAGCAGCCGCGGUAAUUCCAGCUCCAAUAGCGUAUAUUAAAGUUGUUGCCGUUUUCAAGCUUUAUAUACGACUCAACCAGAGGGUCA